CAACGGGGGAUCAAGAAGGCCCAUCUUCUAGUUUGGCGACCGCCAUUGCACUGAAAGGAGGGGUUUCAGUCUAACAUAUCCCCAAAUGGGAGAGUGUACGUCAUAAUUUGCUAUAUUGGCGAUUUCCUUUUCUGGGCUCUUCAUCUUUAAGGGCAAACCGAACAAUAUUCAUUGCUGGAAGUAAAUUCUGGAAUCUAUGCUCGGUAAACAAACUUCUAUUUUACUGGACUACACCUCCAGUUGGUCUAAGGAAGUUGGAGGCAUUGACUUUCUUUACUAAUGGGUACUGUCGCUGCCAUCAACUGGACUGCUUUCUUUUGAAUCUUCAUGAACAUGAGUGCAACUUAAAAACAGAUGGGAUUUCUUUUGCUGUAGAGACUAGCCAAGGAUUCAUUAGGACCGUACUCAAAGAGUUUUUGUUCUUUGUUAGAUUUCACAAGGGGUAUUUUGGUUUUUUAGGUUUAUCUAUUUGAGAGUGAAAGGUCUG